GACGAACGCUGGCGGCGUGCCUAACACAUGCAAGUGGUGCGACGAACCAGGGCUUGCCCUGGGGCAGAGCCGCGAACGGGUGAGUAACACGUGGGCAACCUGCCCCGAUGACUGGGACAACCCGGGGAAACCCGGGCUAAUACCGGAUGUUCUCCCUCACAUCAGUGAGGUGAGUAAAGGAAGCUUCGGCCUCCGCAUUGGGAUGGGCCCGCGGCCCAUUAGCUUGUUGGUGGGGUAAUGGCCUACCAAGGCAACUAUGGGUAGCUGGUCUGAGAGGACGAUCAGCCACACUGGGACUGAGACACGGCCCAGACUCCUACGGGAGGCAGCAGUGGGGAAUCUUGCGCAAUGCGCGAAAGCGUGACGCAGCAACGCCGCGUGGGGAAGAAGGCCU
rnacentral:rRNA from 1 species